UACAGAGGGUGCGAGCGUUGUUCGGAAUUACUGGGCGUAAAGCGCGCGCAGGCGGCCUUUUAAGUCUACCCGUGAAAUGCCGGAGCUCAACUCCGUGCACGCCGGGGGAUACUGGGAGGCUGGGGACAGGUAGAGGCAAGCGGAAUUCCGGGUGUAGCGGUGGAAUGCGUAGAUAUCCGGAAGAACACCCGUGGCGAAGGCGGCUCUCUGGGACGGUACUGACGCUGAGACGCGAAAGCGUGGGGAGCGAACAGG
rnacentral:rRNA from 1 species